rnacentral:rRNA from 1 species
UAAAAUAUAUAAUGAGGGAGUGCCAGUAUUCCUCGGAAGAGGAAUUGGCGUAGUUUACAUUCAGCGGUCCGAUGAUUCACAGUCAUUGCAAUUUUCAUUGCUUAUCGCACUUUGCUGCGGCCUUCAUCGCUGUAGGAACCAAGACAUCCAUCGUUAAGAUUGUGCUA